rnacentral:rRNA from 1 species
GUUAUGUGAAUACAUAGCAUAAGGAGGCGAACCGGGGGAACUGAAACAUCUAAGUACCCCGAGGAAAAGAAAUCAACCGAGAUUCCGAAAGUAGCGGCGAGCGAAAUUGGACUAGCCCUUAAGCUUUACACGCGUUAGACAAACGGUCUGGAAAGUCCGACGAUACAGGGUGAUAGUCCCGUAGUUGACGACGUGUGUUCAGUGAAAUCGAGUAGGGCGGGACACGUGAUAUCCUGUCUGAAUAUGGGGGGACCAUCCUCCAAGGCUAAAUACUACUGACUGACCGAUAGUGAACCAGUACCGUGAGGGAAAGGCGAAAAGAACCCCUGUGAGGGGAGUGAAAUAGAACCUGAAACCGUGUACGUACAAGCAGUAGGAGCAGGCUUUGUCCUGUGACUGCGUACCUUUUGUAUAAUGGGUCAGCGACUUAUAUUCAGUGGCAAGGUUAACCAUCUAGGGGAGCCGUAGGGAAACCGAGUCUUAACUGGGCGUUCAGUCUCUGGAUAUAGACCCGAAACCAGGUGAUCUAGCCAUGGGCAGGUUGAAGGUUGAGUAACAUCAACUGGAGGACCGAACCGACUAAUGUUGAAAAAUUAGCGGAUGAC